rnacentral:lncRNA from 11 species
CAGGAAGUCCUGCCCCUUGAAGCAGGAAGUGCCACCUCCUAAAAGAGGAACUCCCUCCUCCUAAAAACAGGAAAUGCAAUCCUGGGAGACCCUUCCCCCUGAGGUGAAGCCCUCCCACAGCCCACAGCCCACCCCCCCCCCACCCCUACCAUAAGCCGCCCAUGUGAUGGGUAUGUCUAUGGUGCAUGUUCCCUACUCCUACUGCAGGAGCUUACCACGUGGUGGGGCAAGCACAGACAUGUUUCAAUGAGGCAUUCAUGGUGAUGCGUAUGGGCUGAAAGGCCCCUUGCCUAGACUGACCCCUCUGCUUGAGGAAAUGGGGCAGCCAGGACCGUGUGCUAGGUCUUAGUGGUGAGCUCUGUGCUCUGUGUCCAACAGCCAAUGGAUUUAGGCCCAUAAGGUCAUCAUGUGAUACUGGGAGGGCCCAUUAGGGCGGAGCUUUUAGGAAUAAAUACUCCAUGUGAGUUUUAGUGCAUCCCUUGACUGCUUUCAGAGGAAUGGAAAAUAUGGAAUUAUCAGAUGCCAGUGUUUCUUCCUCAGAGCUACCUGAUUCAACAGUUGAUGAAUCCCAAAGCAGGAAACGCUUCAUAAGUUCAAGUUCUGAUGAGGAUGAUGACUGUGAUUUAGCUAAAAGAAAAUGUGAGGAAGACCGGGUGGUUUCCGAAUCAGCUAACAGGCUUUUGGAAACACUUUCAUCAGAACCAGCAAUACCAUCCUCUGAGCAGGGGGUUACAGAAAAUUCAUCAGGGGCAGCUAAAGAAGAAGAAGUGAAGUCACCAUCUAUCGCUGCUAUUUGGAAGCUAUGCUGCGUAGCAUCAAGCCAGCUACAAGUAAGUAUGAGUUUUGAAGGGAUGUGU